CUUACAGGGACACAAUGGGCCCAGAGGUGAGGACACAACCCCUCCAGAUGACACACAGCUUGUCUAGAGCUGCUAGCUUCUCAGGAAGCAGGCUGCCGUGGUGGGAUGAGCCCCUGUGCCACUUCUCAAUACCUCUGCAAUUCUCUCUUGGUUGGAGAAUAUCACAGGUCUCAAGGCUGCUUGGUAUCUCUCACUUAGGUGAAGCCAGAGCCCAUGUGGCACUUAGGAGUCCUUGGAAACUUCUGCAAAGAAAACCAGUAAGGUGUGGAUUUGGGGUAUUUUUGGAGCUAAACUGCCUUUUGACAUCCAAGCAUUGAAUAUAUGCAGUGCUUUUGCCAUCUUAUCUUUAUUUGAAUCAAGGUUUGAUUUGUCAAACAUUUUACAAAUGUUUAAUCCUUUCAACAAAUAAAACCCACCUUUUAAAUACACAGCACACUUUGCUGCCAAGAGUAGUAGUCUGGUAUGAAGCCAACACUAUGGAUGAAUGGGCUCUGCCAGGCCUCCAGGCUUUAUGUGGAUCUUUUGGGACUGCCUUACUGAAGGUCUCAGGUGUAGCUUCUUGCAAAGCAAGCUCCACAGCUUCACAUGGUGAUUGAACCUCUGGCUUCUCUUUCUUCCCAAAUGAAAAACCCAAAUUCAGGUCUACGCUUCACACAUGCCAUAGUAAAAGUUGUAGGACAGAGCUUUUUAAAAGAUUGUAAGGCAACUUGAAAGCCCCUGGAUGUAAGCAGACAUCUGCCUGAAGUUCUCAGGGGACCUGGGACUUUGAAAGGUGGGUGAACCCCGAUGGGCUGUGGAGAAGAGGUCGUGCUUUACUUCUCUCAGUAGAGACCAUGAGGGAUACAAAAAGUCCCUGGAUUAUGACACUUAGGGUAAGUUUGUCAGAAGAAGGCUCUCUGCUGGCAUGGCUGAAUUGCUUCCAGUACCCAAUCUCAUGAGUUUAAGAAUCUUUGAACUGUCCUAUAAUGCUUUAGGACUGUGUUGUCCUUGGAGAAGUCAUACGUUUUGCCUUCAGGAUUCUUCUCAGGCUUUGAGCUAUCAAGAAAUCCAUGGGAGCUUUGGUCCUCUCGCUGUGUGACACCUGCCUGUCAUGGCAUCUGGCUCCGUAUCACUUGGCUAAGCUGCAUCUGUGAGAUGGGAUGCCUCCAUACAUUUGAUGUCUGAACAGAGAAUGGGAUGGUAAUGUUGUCUUCUCUAGCUGUCACUGCUUGCACCAGAUACUGCAGGACUCAGACGAGAUGUGGGGCUGGAUGCCAAAGGCCGGGGAGUUGCAGUGCUUUUCCAUUCACUGCCAGUCACUGACUUCACACCAACUACUGGGACCCCCAGAGCCACAGGCAGAGCCCACAGUUGGGUCAUUCAGGAGACUCUGAGCGACCAAUCUGAGUCAAAUAAGCAUGAGGCUAUCGAAGAGGAUGUGCACAUUCUGUGUUCUAGGAUGACUUAGAAGCAGUGAAACUCAGCGCUGAUAUCUUCCUUGCACUUAAUAAAAUUGCCAGA